rnacentral:rRNA from 1 species
AAAGGGUUCGCAAGGACCCGAGUAAAGUGGCGAAAGGGUGAGUAGUACCUAGGUAACCUGCCCUGAAGCUGGGGAAAACGUUUCUAACGGAACGCUAAUACCCAAUGUGUCCGCGGGGUCGCAUGAUUCUGCGGGUAAACGGUAGCCUCUAUUAAUAAGCUUCCGCUUCAGGAGGGGCCUCGGACCUAUCAGAUAGUUGGCGGGGUAACGGCCCACCAAGUCUGGGACGGGUAGCCGGUCUGAGAGGAUGGUCGGCCACACUGGAACUGAGACACUGUCCAGACUCCUACGGGAGGCUGCAGUCGAGGAUCUUCUGCAAUGGGCGCAAGCCUGACAGAGCGACGCCGCGUGGGGGAGGAAGGCCUUCGGGUUGUAAACCCCUGUUGCCGGUUACGAAUGCUGGGGUGCAAAUAGCGCUACCAGUUGACUAAGGCCGGUGAGGAAGCCACGGCUAACUACGUGCCAGCAGCCGCGGUAAGACGUAGGUGGCAAGCGUUGUUCGGAAUCACUGGGCAUAAAGCGCACGUAGGCGGCCAAGUCAGUCAGGUGUGAAAUACCUCGGCUCAACCGAGGAACUGCGCCUGAUACUGCUUGGCUUGAGGUCCGGAGGGGAGAGUGGAAUUCCCGGUGGAGCGGUGAAAUGCGUAGAGAUCGGGAAGAACGCCGGCGGCGAAAGCGACUCUCUGGUCGGAAUCUGACGCUGAGGUGCGAAAGCUAGGGGAGCAAACGGGAUUAGAUACCCCGGUAGUCCUAGCCAUAAACGAUGGGCACUAGGUACUGGUCGUUUCUAUGCGGUCAGUGCUGGAGCGAAUGUCUUAAGUGCCCCGCCUGGGAAGUACGGUCGCAAGACU